rnacentral:tRNA from 1 species
GCGGAAGUGGCUCAGGGGUUGAGCAUCGCCUUGCCAAGGCGAGGGUCGCGGGUUCGAUUCCCGUCUUUCGCUCCA